GACCCCAGGUCAGGCGGGGCCACCCGCCGAGUU
rnacentral:rRNA from 1 species